rnacentral:rRNA from 1 species
AUUGAACGCUGGCGGCAGGCCUAACACAUGCAAGUCGAGCGGAGCGGCGGACGGGUGAGUAAUGCCUAGGAAUCUGCCUGGUAGUGGGGGAUAACGGCCGGAAACGGGCGCUAAUACCGCAUACUAUCAGAUGAGACUAGGUCGGAUUAGGGAGUGGGUGGGGUAAAGGCCGACCAAGGCGACGCUCCGUAACUGGUCUGAGAGGAUGAUCAGUCACACAGGAACUAAGACACGGUCCGGACUCCCACGGGAGGCAGAAGUGGGGAAUAUUGGACAUUGGGCGAAAGCCUGAUCCCGCGCUGCCCCGUGAGUGAAGAAGUUCUUGGGAUUGUAAGGCUCUUUAAGUUGGGAGGCGUUACCAACAGAAUAAGCACCGGCUAACUUCGUGCCAGCAGCCGCGGUAAUAC